rnacentral:lncRNA from 1 species
CUGAGUCACCACAGCAGCCGCCUUGUGAUGGAUGUAGCCCGCAGGCGGAUCCAGCCGCCUCGAAACAGGGCCUCAAGGGAUUGGAUAAGGCCUACCCACAUUGCUGAGGGUGGAUCUUGUUACUCAGCCUACUAAUGCAAAUGCUUAUCUCUUCUGGAAACAUCCUCACAGAUACACCCAGAAAUUAUGUUUAACCAGCUAUCUGGGCAUCCCUUGGUCCAGCCAAGUUGACACAUGAAAUUACCGAUCACAAACACUUUGUUGCUUCAUUGCUUAUCAAAUAAAGCAACUCUUCUAUUGUC